rnacentral:lncRNA from 1 species
GAUCUGAGUGAGAAAUGUUUUAAAUUAUUUUCAUUUUUUAUAUUACAGAUAGGGGUGUUUGGAUAUGAGAUGCUAAACUUUAACAGUGUCACAUCAAAUGUUCGGAUACUAAUUAGGAGGACUAAAUAUGAGCUAAUAAUAAAACUAAUUGCAGAACCCUGUGCUAAUUCGCGAGACGGAUCUAUUAAACCUAAUUAAUCCAUCAUUAGCAAAUGGUUACUGUAGCACCACAUUAUCAAAUCAUGGACUAAUUAGGCUUAAUAAAUUCGUCUC